CACCUGAGAUACAAAAAAUGAUGAAUUCAUAUAUUCAGCAUAUAUUUAAGAAAUAAAUAUUUGAUGUAUUUAUGUAAACUAACAUGACGAGAUUUUGACUGGUACCAGACAUAUCACAGACAUUGCAAUGUGUUAAAAGGAACAGUAUUUGAAGGCAAAGGUGGAACAGGUGGAGGUGGUGGUAGUUUAGGUAAUGGUGGUGGUGAUGUAAUUUCAGUACUAGUAGAUGUGGCAACAAACAUUUGUGGACUUGAUUCUGAUGCUACAUCUCCUUCUGGUCUUGGAAUUGGUUUUAUCUAUUUAAUAAAAUAAUUAUGAGGUGUGUCAGGCGUGGUUGCAUUCGUUAUACUAUUAAGAUUGGCGGAAGAAUUUUUGGAUGUACUAGGCGUUGUUGGCGUUGUAGAUAAUUGUACUUCUUGUAG